rnacentral:lncRNA from 1 species
UUUAGGUAGACUUGAUGAGUGAUAAACUUGAAGACAUGCAAGUCUCACACUCUAUGCUUAUCUUUUAAUUAAUACAUUUAUGUUUAUGUCUUUAAUUCUUUUAUUGCUUUACUUAUGCUUUCAUUAGUGUUAAAUUAGUCUUAGUUGGUGAGCAAUUAGUAUUGAAUGCUUAAUUGCUUAAUUAUUUUAUCCGGAUUUUCAAGAGUUGUCAUUCUCUUGAGGGUUUUCAUAGUUUAGAGUUAUAUCUGAUUGAGUUCAUAGAGGUAAUUAAACUUCAUAUCCUAAUUGGUUGUUAUUUUUCUAAUCAAUCAAUUGUAUAUUCCUAGCUUAGGGUUAUAAUUGAUUGAGUAAUUAAAUUUCAUAUCAUAAUUGGUUCUUGUUCUUCCAAACAAUUCUAGGUGUAGCUGUUAUUUUUGAUUCGGCAUACUUUGCUAUAUCAUAAUUGGUUCUUGUUCUUCCAAACAAUUCUAGGUGUAGCUGUUAUUUUUGAUUCGGCAUACUUUGCUAUAUCCGUGUUUUCCUUUGUUGUUCGUAUCAUCUUGGUAUAAGCGGAGGUUGAGGAUUGUUGUAUCAAUCCUUGGCUGUUUGUUUUGAUUAUCAUCAAAUCAGAAAAUCAAAAAAAAAAAUCGAAAAAUUCCAAAAAUAGUAAGAUCUGUUCAUCAGUGUUCUAAAAUAGAAAUCGUAUUUGUUCUUCACUGUUUAAUCGUAUUUGUCUAUCUGUGCUUGAUAUUUUGAGUCCGAAAUUAUUGAAUCUACUGAAAUUGAUUAAUAUCAAUUGGAAAUUGUUGGAUUACUUGGGUUCUAGUUCGAAUUCCACCACUGAAUCUCCAUCGGCAGAGUUUCUCGGCUUAACUCAGAUUUAAAUUUCGUUGAGGAUUUGGGUUCAAAAUCGGUUGGAUUUUUGUGAUUCUUGUUGGAAACAUGAACACGAAGCUGAAUCUGAAGGGUCAGUCCGAUUAACACUGAAUUUCUAGGGUUUUGAUUGAAAUUUUCGAUUUCAAUUUCGGAGAGGACGACGAGCUGGAUUCUUCUGAAUUCGUGAUUGUUUCUAGAAAUCAAUCACUGGGGGUUUGAGUUUUAUACUGUUUGGAAGUAGAAUCCAAAGUUUGAGCUCGAUUUGGUGAAGGUUUGUUCGAUAAUCGGAUUUUCUGGUGUUGAGGCUCGAAGAACAUCGAAGAACAACUUCAGUUUCUGGGAUUGAGUAUGAAGCUGCGUAGCCUACGCAUCUACACUUAGCCAAUUCCAGAAGGCAUCAGGUUUGAUUCUUCUAAGUCGAAAGUUAGUUUUAUGUGCUGAAAAUUUUGAAGAAAGUUUGAGUUAUAGCUGAACUUCGACUCGAUCGUUCUGAGUUAGUUGAUUUGAAUGAAUUCGACUCGCGUUGCUUAGCUUGAUUUCUGAGUAUUGAGCUGAAAUUUGUUCUCAAUUUGUUGCUGCCGUUUGUGAAUCUCAGCCCUUGAUAGAGUUUCUUAGUUGCUAAACCAUCCUUGUAUCUGAUGAAUUCUGGUUUGAACUCCUUUGUGAUGCUAAAUUUCUGAUCAUUGAGCUGCAUUUCUGUGACUUGCUCUGCUGAAAUGUUUCCGGAAUUAUUAUAGUAUGAAGUUGAAGCUCGGUUUGUCUGAAAUUGAAAACUGGAACUUCUUCUUGUGCUUGCUGUUUGAGGGUUAACUUCAGCACUGGUGCAGCCUAAAACAAAAGCUGUCCAGUUUCUGCUGAAUUUAGUGCUCACGUGUUGCUGAAGUUUCUGAGUUUUGAGCAGUGUCUUUUUAUAGCAAGAGCUGCACAGUUGAGUAGAAAAAUACAGGUUUUAGCAGGGGUAAAUACCUACUGAAUCAGACUCGAUUUGGCAUUAGAUUUCUGAGAUUGUGAACUGCUGGGAACUGCAAAAUUCUACAGAAAAGAACUCAGCUGAACAGUACCUUUUGACAGCCAAAAUCUGCCCUGUUUCAGCACUAUUUGAGCAGGAAAAUCUGCGCAGCUUGGGGUGAAACUUUUGCACUGUUUCUGCCCUGUUGAACUGCUGAAAAUCUGCAGUAUUCGAAACAAUUUCUGCAUUGGUUAGGCUCCAGUUAAGCUGCAAAUUUGCAGCAACUUAUUCAGUUAAGUUCCAGAAGUUCUGCACUUUGGAACAACUUUCUGCACAGUCAAGAUCCUGCAGCAGCUGGGUGAAGUUUGAACUGUUUUGGACUGUGAAUUGAUUAAGGGAAUUCGAGUCAGCAGUUCUGAAAGUUUCUGCUCAACUCUGCUUUCUGCAUUACUUGACAGAAAAAUUGCUUCAGUUUGGUUUCUGCUGAUUGAAUAAGGUUUUGGUUGAGUUACACCUGGAAAAUUUGUUGAAGCUAAAGGUUCAGAAAGGAUCGGUUGUAUAUCCAGUUCAGGUUUCUGCACAGCUGGUUCACGCAGAAGAUUUCCAACAGCCUGCAGUUCUGCCAGUUACUGUGAACCUGCCCAGUUUUGCAAAAUAGCCUGUUUUGCGAAUAUGACCACAUUUUGACAAAGUGUUUAGUUUUGUAAUUUCAUUCCUUUUCUUUCUUUUCAAUUUGUAGUCACUAAAACUCUCAACUAGAAUUAACUUGAUAUUAGUUCAUAUUGAGUUUAUUUCUAGUUUCUUUGUGUGCCUUAAUUUUGUUUCGUGCCAAUUUUUUCGUACUUUUCUCUUUUAUUA